rnacentral:tRNA from 1 species
AGGCCCGUAGCUCAAUUGGCAGAGCAGCGGACUCCAAAUCCGCAGGUUGGGGGUUCAAUUCCUCCCGGGCCUG